rnacentral:rRNA from 1 species
AGCAGCCGCGGUAAUUCCAGCUCCAAUAGCGUAUAUUAAAGUUGUUGCAGUUAAAAAGCUCGUAGUUGAAUUUCGGGGUUAGUAGGUUGGUCGUGCCACUGGUACGUACUGGUCUUACUGAUUCCUCCUUCCUGAUGAACUGUAAUGCCAUUAAUUUGGUGUUGCAGGGAAACUGGACUGUUACUUUGAAAAAAUUAGAGUGUUUAAAGCAAGCUAACGCUUGAAUACAUUAGCAUGGAAUAAUGAAAUAGGACGUUCGAUCCUAUUUUGUUGGUUUCUAGGAUUGACGUAAUGAUUAAUAGGGAUGGUUGGGGGCAUUAGUAUUCAAUUGUCAGAGGUGAAAUUCUUGGAUUUAUUGAAGACUAACUACUGCGAAAGCAUUUGCCAAGGAUGUUUUCAUUAAUCAAGAACGAAAGUUAGGGGAUCGAAGACGAUCAGAUACCGUCGUAGUCUUAACCAUAAACUAUGCCGACUAGGGAUCGGAUGAUGUUAAUUUUUUAAUGACUCAUUCGGCGCCUUA